rnacentral:rRNA from 1 species
AGAGUUUGAUCCUGGCUCAGAUUAAACGCUGGCGGCAUGCCUUACACAUGCAAGUCGAACGGCAGCACGGGGGCAACCCUGGUGGCGAGUGGCGGACGGGUGAGUAAAGCAUCGGAACGUAUCCUGGAGUGGGGGAUAACGUAGCGAAAGUUACGCUAAUACCGCAUAUUCUGUGAGCAGGAAAGCAGGGGAUCGCAAGACCUUGCGCUCUGGGAGCGGCCGAUGUCGGAUUAGCUAGUUGGUGGGGUAAAGGCCUACCAAGGCGACGAUCCGUAGCGGGUCUGAGAGGAUGAUCCGCCACACUGGGACUGAGACACGGCCCAGACUCCUACGGGAGGCAGCAGUGGGGAAUUUUGGACAAUGGGGGCAACCCUGAUCCAGCCAUGCCGCGUGAGUGAAGAAGGCCUUCGGGUUGUAAAGCUCUUUUGGUCGGGAAGAAAGUGCCCUGCUUAAUACGCGGGGUAUUUGACGGUACCGGCAGAAUAAGCACCGGCUAACUACGUG